rnacentral:rRNA from 1 species
AUGCUCCACUCCGGCCUCUCCAAGUCCCAGCCCCUACCGCUCCUCGCGGGAGCGUCUUCGCCUCGCCGCGCCCUCCUCGCCGGUCUCCUCCGCGCCGGGUACUUCUCUAAGUCCGCUACCUCCUCACCUGCGCUUCGUCCGUCCGCCACCCGUGCGAGCACCAGGGCGGCGACUACGCCGCGAGAUCCCUCGCGCUUCGGCCUGGUACAUAGGGUCUCGUUCUCCACUGCACCAGAUGGUUCUGAUUCGGUCGGCAGCGGCGGGAGGUCGCUCCCUUGGCUAGCCGCCGGGAGCGUCGAUAGCGGCGUCCCCACCGCAAGGACUAGCGCCGGACGCUCCUCCUCGUGGGAGAGCUCCGCUGAUAAGUUCUUCUCUAAAGGCGACCACAGUGCGCGAGUAGAGACAUUGGAAGAUAGCGUUUCAUACAAGGAGGGGGGAAUUGGAGGGGAGGAGAAUGAACCAAUUGACAAUCCCAAGUGGGGGCGGAUUAAGGAUAAGUUCCGGCGAAACGCGGCAACGGAUGAAGGGUCCCGUGACCGUGCUGAGAGGUUUGAAAAACCGGAUGUGAGGCGGUGGAACAAGCAAGAGGACCGUGGUGAGAGGUUUGACAAACCGGAUGUGAGGCGGUGGAGCAAGCAAGAGGACCGUGGUGAGAGGUUUGACAAGCCGGAUNNNAACCAGCCAGAUGUAAGGCGGUGGAACAAGCAAGAGGACUGGGGCAGGAAGACAUGGAAGGAGGUGGGGGAAUCGACAGUGCCAAAGAUGGUUGGGGAGGGGGUUUAUGGCGUUGGGCCGGUACUUGCGGCUCUCACGGCUGGGAGGAGGGAGUUUUAUGCAUUGUACACACAGGAAGGAAUGGAUUUGAGUAGGAGCAACAAGAAGAAGAAGGACAAAAGGGGGAUUGAGAAGGUGCUGCUGAUGGCAGAAACUAUCGGGCUUAAAGUUAUUGAGGCGUCAAAGCAUGACCUCAACAUGGUGGUGGAUAACCGUCCACAUCAAGGUCUGGUGCUUGAUGCAUCACCCUUGGAAAUGGUGAAUACUAAGGAGUUGGAACGAGUCAGGGUUCAUGGUGGCAAGGCACCGGUCUGGAUAGCUUUGGAUGAGGUUAUGGACCCUCAGAAUUUGGGAGCCAUAAUUAGAUCAGCCUACUUCUUUGGUGCAGAGGGUGUUGUCUUGUGCGCUAAGAACUCUGCUCCAUUAAGUGGAGUAGUGAGCAAAGCUAGUGCAGGCUCGCUUGAGUUGAUUGAGCUGCUUUCGUGUAGGAACAUGAUGCAGUUUCUGUCUUCAUCAGCUGAAAAUGGGUGGCGAGUUCUUGGUGGUACCGUCACUCCAAAAGCUAUACCUCUCUCUGAAGUUACCACAGGGGAGCCAACAAUUCUGGUGUUGGGCAGUGAAGGCACUGGUCUGAGGCCCCUGGUUGAACGGUCCUGCACACAUUUGGUCAAAAUUGCUGGUAAUGCUGAUGGAUUUGUUGUAGAAGAAGAAAUAGAUGCCACAGAUGCAGAUAUAGGGGAAGAAGGUGAUAAUUAUUCAGGUAGUCAAGAUAUGAAAUCAUUCCUUGCAGUAGAGAGCUUAAAUGUUAGUGUGGCAGCAGGAGUUUUGCUUUAUCAUCUGGCUGGAAAGAAUGUCCACCCUGUAACUGAGAAGCCUAGCAUCUCUCCUGUGUAA